rnacentral:sRNA from 1 species
AUGUCCGUGUCGGGGUUCAAGGCCAAGCUGAAGUUGCUGGCUCUGUCUUCCACAAGAACCAGGAGCCGCCGCCGCAGCUCAGGCUCCACUGCAACAUCACGCCAAUUGUUUUUAAGGAGAAACUAUCAAUGAAAACGGACUCGUUGAUGGAGGAAAAGUUGGAAUGCAGCCUCUAGUGCUGUUUGAGCGAUCCCUCUCCCCCGGGCCGCUGCUGUGUUCUGGAAAGGCGCAUUGUACCCUGGAUGCAGCAGGAAUCCUGUUCAUCUUCUUCACCGAUAUGGUUUGUGGACUCUGAUGAGCCAAAUCUGACAUCACUUCUGGAACGUCUAGAAGAUACUAAGGACAA